rnacentral:rRNA from 1 species
AUACGGAGGGUGCAAGCGUUAAUCGGAAUUACUGGGCGUAAAGCGUACGUAGGCGGUUAUUUAAGUCAGAUGUGAAUGCCCCGGGCUUAACUUGGGAACUGCAUUUGAAACUGGGUAACUAGAGUUUAGUAGAGGGGAGUGGAAUUUCAGGUGUAGCGGUGAAAUGCGUAGAGAUCUGAAGGAACACCAGUGGCGAAGGCGACUCCCUGGACUAAAACUGACGCUGAGGUACGAAAGCGUGGGUAGCAAACAGGAUUAGAAACCCCAGUAGUCC